UACGUAGGUGGCAAGCGUUGUCCGGAUUUACUGGGCGUAAAGAGCGCGCAGGCGGUCAGAUAAGUCGAAUGUGAAAGCCCCCGGCUCAACUGGGGAGGGUCAUUCGAUACUGUUCGACUCGAAGGCAGGAGAGGGAAGUGGAAUUCCCGGUGUAGUGGUGAAAUGCGUAGAUAUCAGGAGGAACACCGGUGGCGAAGGCGGUUCUCUGGGCAUGACCUGACGCUGAGGAGCGAAAGUGUGGGGAGCGAACAGG
rnacentral:rRNA from 1 species